rnacentral:rRNA from 1 species
UACGUAGGGGGCUAGCGUUGUCCGGAAUCAUUGGGCGUAAAGAGCGUGUAGGCGGCUUGGUAAGUCCGCUGUGAAAGUCCAGGGCUCAACCCUGGAAGCCAGUGGAAACUGUCAAGCUAGAGUCCGGAAGAGGCGAGUGGAAUUCCUGGUGUAGCGGUGAAAUGCGCAGAUAUCAGGAGGAACACCAAUGGCGAAGGCAGCUCGCUGGGACGGUACUGACGCUGAGACGCGAAAGCGUGGGAGCAAACAGG